rnacentral:rRNA from 1 species
UACGUAGGUGGCAAGCGUUGUCCGGAUUUACUGGGCGUAAAGAGCGCGCAGGCGGUCGUUCAAGUCGCGUGUGAAAGCCCCAGGCUCAACCUGGGAACUGCACUCGAAACUGCGUUUCUUGAGUAUCGGAGAGGAAAGCGGAAUACCUGGUGUAGAGGUGAAAUUCGUAGAUAUCAGGUGGAACACCAGUGGCGAAGGCGGCUUUCUGGACGAUUACUGACGCUGAGACGCGAAAGCGUGGGGAGCAAACAGG